CCCCACUCCUCCCCCGAUCCACCAACCCACCGCCGCGCCCCCAGGCCGGCGACCUCCCACCGCCACGCCACCUCCCUUCCCUGCACCGCCGCACCACUUCCACCCUCUUGUGCCGCCGCACCACCUCAAACCACCUACCCUCCCCGCCCCACCUUCCCCCACGCAGGCAAGCCACCGGAUCCGCCCAUUGCAGUCCUCCCACGCGUGGUCGGCAUCGGAUCUGCGCGUCGCCAUCCCUGCGAACCACUUGGACGAGGGCAGCUAGAUCUGCCCUGCCAUUAUCCACCAGCGGCUGCUCGACGACGGAUCCACGCCAAGACCUCCUGGGGGCGUCCUCUCCGUCCCCAUAUCGAGGGUGACUUGGCUUCAUAGAUUGGAUGGUCGGACGUUGAGCUCGGGGGUCGCCGGUGACUCUCCCCUCCCAGUUCCUCCACCUCCCGCCUACCACCAUCGAGCGCAUCCAGAGGGGCGUGGGGGUGUCCGACACCCCGCGCGAGGUCCACAAUGCAUCAAUCCUGGCGGCUCGCGUCCAAGGUCUCGGGCGCUAUGGCCUGUUUAGUUCGCAGGUCCUGCUACAAACGUUCGCUACCCCAACAGUGGCAGUUGGCCGUGACGCCUGCUGCAGUCCAUACCCAGUGUGGUGGUUCGUUCCUCGGCGGCGACCUCCUGCCCUCCUCCCUAUCUUGCUUGGGAUCCCACACGAUGAAGGUCAAACAGCAGCGACGAACCCGUUCAGUUCAGAAAGAAACUAGGUUGGCCUUGUAGUUCACUGGCAAGAAUCUGCCUCUCCUCCUGCGUAGAUGCAUUUUUGCUAGAAGGGCUCUGUAGACCAGCGGUUCAGCUCGUGAAUGCUUUCAGUUUGUCGACACCCACAUGGACGCGCGGCUCGCUGGAACACGUAGUCCGCCCCCAGCGGCGUGUAGUACAACACUCUCGUUGGUGCAGCCCGCUGGCUGCACCUAUGCGCGACGACGAUGAAGAGCGUGGCGUACAACUCGUGCGGCUCGUCUUGCAGCUGGCUUGCCGCGGCAUGCAGUCCGCUUGGUAUGUUGGAGAGGUUCAUUUUUCAUGAAAAAAGGGUGAUGCACCACUUUGAGGAGUACUAUGGUCCACUUCAGUCAAAUGUAUUUAUUUUUUGUAAAAAAUAGAUGCAGUCCGUUUGGGAACUGCUUGCGGUUUGCAUGGCUGGUGUGUGAAGUGCACGAUGUGCUUGUGUGUUUCAAAACUCGGUCGAUUAUGUGAAGUGCACGAUGUGCUUGUGUGUUUCAAAA